AUGUCUCUGAAAUUUCGUUAAACAGCAGUAGUUUCAAAAAUGUUCAUAAGAGUUCUAGUUUGAAUAUUGCCCUUUCUCACUUUUCAAUGAAUUCGAUUGUGAAUCACUUUGUGUAUUAACGAGUAUACGAUCAAGGAAAUUGUAAUUUUGUUAAGAUUUCAUCUGAAGAAAAAACUAAAACUCAAAUUUCAAUGCAACGAGAUAGAUUUGAUGUCGAAUUCACAGACGGAUUUAUCACAAAGGAUUCUUCUAUUCACUGGAAGAAUCAGAAUGUUGUUUUUGUAUAGUAAAGUGCGUCAAUAUUAAACGUGAAAAUGAAAAUGUUUGCUGGUUUCUGAGGAUUUUUUUUGAAAAUUCUACUUGUUAUGCGUUAUGUUAAAACUUUGAAAUCACGUAAUAUAUUGAAAAUUGGAUAUUUUGUUACAUUAUUUUAUAUCAACUGAAACGUUUCCGUUACUAUUAUGAAUAUACAGAUAAAUAAAUGUAAUAGAACUUCACAAAAUCUUUUGAUAAUUCUAAUGAGUAUUGAAGAAAGAAAAUCUAGUGUAAAAUACAUGAAAUGUAGUUAUAAACCAAUUAUUACAUGUGCCAUAUUUACUGUACUUGCAUUGAGUGUGAUCGUACUUUAGAGUCAUAAAAUAUAAUAUGUAAAAUUGUGUAUAUAUAAUAGUUAUAAAGACAUAUAAGAAAAUAAGAAAAA